CGGGGUGCAGCAGGCGCGAAAACUUUGCAAUACACGAAAGUGUGACAGGGCUAUCCCGAGUGCCAUCCGCUGAGGAAGGCUUUUACCCAGUCUAGAACGCUGGGGGAAUAAGGAGAGGGCAAGUCUGGUGUCAGCCGCCGCGGUAAUACCAGCUCUCCGAGUGGUGUGGAUGUUUAUUGGGCCUAAAGCAUCCGUAGCUGGCUAAGUUAGUCCCUUGUUAAAUCCACCGAAUUAAUCGUUGGAUUGCGGGGGAUACUGCUUGGCUAGGGGACGAGAGAGGCAGACGGUAUUUCCGGGGUAGGGGUGAAAUCCUAUAAUCCCGGGAAGACCACCAGUGGCGAAGGCUGUCUGCUAGAACGCGCCCGACGGUGAGGGAUGAAAGCUGGGGGAGCGAACCGGAUUAGAUACCCGGGUAGUCCCAGCUGUAAACGAUGCAGGCUAGGUGUUUGGACGGCCACGUGCCGUUCUAGUGCCGCAGGGAAGCUGUUAAGCCUGCCGCCUGGGGAGUACGAUCGCAAGAUUGAAACUUAAAGGAAUUGGCGGGGGAGCACAAGG
rnacentral:rRNA from 1 species